rnacentral:lncRNA from 1 species
AUGGUAGAAGCAGAUUGUCAUGGCAAGCUUUUCAUUGGUGGCCUCAAUAGAGAAGCCAAUGAAAAGGUGCUUAAAGAAGUAUUUGCAAAACAUGGUCCCCUUUUGGAAGUUCUUUUGAUAAAAGGUCGAACCAGUAAGUCCAGAGAUUUUGUGGUCAUUAUUUUUGAGAAUGCUGCAGAUGCUAAGAAUGCUGCCAGAGAUAUGAAUGGAAAGUCUUUGGAUGGAAAAGAAAUAAAAGUAGAACAAGCAAAGAAACCAUCUUUUCCAAGUGGUGGUAGGCGGAGACCACCACCUUCUUCAAGAAACAGAAGCCCUUCAGGAAGUCUGAGAUCUGCAAGAGGAAGUAGUGGAGGAACAAGACCGUGGCUGCCCUCACAUGAAGGACACUUGGAUGAUGGUGGAUACGCUCUUGAUCUCAACACGAGUUCUUCUAGGGGAGCCAUUCCAAUUAAAAGAGGUCCAUCUUCACGAAGUGGAGGUCCUCCUCCUAAAACAUCUGCUCCUUCUGCUAUGGCAAGAAGCAAUAGUUGGAUGGGAGGCCAAGGUCCCAUAUCACGUGGAAGAGAGAAUUAUGGAGGUCCUCCAUGCAGAGAGCCAAUCUCUUCCUGGAGAAAUGACCGUAUGUCACCAAGAGAUGAUGGUUAUGCAAUUAAGGAAAGAAAUCAUCCACUUUCCCGAGAAUCUAGGGAUUAUGCUCCACUGUCUAGAGACUAUGCAUACCAUGAUUAUGGUCAUUCUAGUUGGGAUGAACAUUUCUCUAGAGGAUAUAGUGAUUGUGAUGGCUGUGGUGAGGUGAUGUUAGAGAUCAUUCUGAACGUCCAAGUGGAAGUUCUUAUAGAGAUGCAUUUCAGAGAUAGGGGACCUCUCAUGGUGCACCAUCUGCAGGAGUGCCUCUGUUGUCUUAUGGUGGAAGCAGCCACCAUGAUUAUAGCAAUAAAUGAGAUAGAUAUGGCAUAAGUCGGGAGAGUUACUCAAGGAGCUGUGGUGAUUUUUAUUCCCGUGAUUGUGGGCACGUUGACAGAAAAGACCAAAGCAAUCUACCUUCUCUGGAUAGGGUACACCCUGCUCCUUGUGAAACAUGUGGUAGCUCAAGAUAUUUGUCAUCUACAGGAGAUGGUGGGGAAGGUGGAUCUGACAAAAGAGGCUGAAGCAGAUA